rnacentral:RNase_P_RNA from 1 species
GCAGCUCGGGUAGCCGCCGCGGCCUUCGGGCCGUGGAGGAAAGUCCGGGCUCCGCAGGGCAGGAUGCCGGGUAACGCCCGGUCGGCGCGAGCCGAAGGAAAGUGCCACAGAAAACAGACCGCCCCCUCGCCGGGGUAAGGGUGAAAAGGCGGGGUAAGAGCCCGCCGGAUACGGCGUAAGCCGUGUGCCUGGCAAACCCCAUCCGGAGCAAGACCGAAUAGGGGGGGAUGAGGCGGCCCGCCGACCCCCGGGUACGGUCGCUCGAGGGGCUCCGCGAGGGGUCUCCCAGAUAAAUGGUUACCGUAUACAGAACCCGGCUUAUGAGCUGC